rnacentral:misc_RNA from 1 species
AAGUCGUAACAAGGUAUCUGUAGGUGAACCUGCAGAUGGAUCAUUUAAGAGUUAAGGGCGCUCGCAAGAGGCCUGCCACCUCAUUCAAACACUGUGAACUUGACCCCGAGGAAGCUUUGAGUAGGACUUAGCCGUCCCGCUUCUUAGCCCCUGUCUAAAAACACUUGUAUGUACCACAAGAUGAUGAUGUCAAUACCAUUGAGAAACAGAAAGUAAAA